rnacentral:rRNA from 1 species
CGCCUGUUUAUCAAAAACAUCGCCUCUUGACUACUAUAAGAGGUCCAGCCUGCCCAGUGACCAGUUUAACGGCCGCGGUACCCUAACCGUGCGAAGGUAGCAUAAUCACUUUGUUUCUUAAAUAGAGACUAGUAUCAACGGCAUCACGAAGACUACACUGUCUCCUCCCUAAAAUCAAUGAAACUGAUCUCCUCGUGAAGAAGCGAGGAUAUACAUAUAAGACGAGAAGACCCCAUGGAGCUUUAAACGAACUUCAAUUGUUCCUACCCAUAACAUACAAAUUGAACACUCCCUGGUAGACAGUUUUAGGUUGGGGUGACCGCGGAGUAAAACAAAACCUCCACAAUGAAUGUAAUAAAAUUCUUAUAAAAGAACUACAAUUCUAAUAAUCAAAAAUUUGACAUAAGUUGACCCAAACACUUGAUCAAUGAACCAAGUUACCCUGGGGAUAACAGCGCAAUCCAUUUUAAGAGCCCAUAUCGACAAAUGGGUUUACGACCUCGAUGUUGGAUCAGGGUAUCCCAGUGGUGCAGCCGCUACUAAAGGUUCGUUUGUUCAACGAUUAAAACCCUACGUGAUCUGA